rnacentral:rRNA from 1 species
GAUGAACGCUGGCGGCGUGCCUAACACAUGCAAGUCGAACGGAGUCGUUUUGGAAAUCUCUUCGGAGAUGGAAUUCUCGACUUAGUGGCGGACGGGUUAGUAACGCGUGAGCAAUCUGCCUUUAAGAGGGGGAUAACAGUCGGAAACGGCUGCUAAUACCGCAUAAAGCAUUAAAUUCGCAUGUUUUUGAUGCCAAAGGAGCAAUCCGCUUUUAGAUGAGCUCGCGUCUGAUUAGCUAGUUGGCGGGGUAACGGCCCACCAAGGCGACGAUCAGUAGCCGGACUGAGGGGGUGAACGGCCACAUUGGGACUGAGACACGGCACAGACUCCUACGGGAGGCAGCAGUGGGGAAUAUUGCGCAAUGGGGGAAACACUGACGCAGCAACGCCGCGUGAUUGAAGAAGGCCUUCGGGUUGUAAAGAUCUUUAAUCAGGGACGAAACAAAUGACGGUACCUGAAGAAUAAGCGCCGGCUAACUACGUG